GGCGCACAACAACUAGGAAGCGGACUAAAGCCAUGGCACCAGUGGUAGCUCUUCGAUGGAGCGCCUCCUGCCAUGAAGGCACAACCAGCGGCUCCCCACGAUACACAACACCGAGUCAAAUUGUUGAAACCCGGAGUUGGGCCGAGGAGCUGGCCUCCACUUGAGAGAAGCAACACCGGCGUUGGGCGUUCCGUGUGCAGAAUGAUGAGGUAUGCCAUGGAAUGAUUGGGUUUUGAGUGGUAGGUGAUCCCUAUGCCGGCUGUGAUAGCGGCCAUCAUUGGUAUACAACAAUGCAGCGAUUGUCUCGGGUUGUUAUUGAGCUCCACGGCUGGCCUUAGAUUGGCUAGCAUCGGCACACUUUACUCAAAUCUAUACCAUAAGAACAUGUGCUCCAGUCUGACGAAGCAACCAAGCUGUAUAUACACAUCUUUGCUUCCUGAUCCAUUUUGUUUUGCGAUUCACGCCAUCCGUGAUGGUCAGGCUGAUGCUUCUUCGCUUGAUUCUGAAGAAAAGGAUGAUCAGAUUCAGAUUCCCAAGAACAAUAGAAGAAAAGAGGGGUUGUCAGGUCAGACUUUGGUGCGUCUCUGACUAGAGAUAGCUGGAUCCGUGUGACGCUCUUCCAAAUGGUGCAGAUUCACUGACUGUCAGUGGAAAUAUGGAUGUCUUAUGCACUUUUCCUGCGAAAGAUGAACUUCAUGUUGCUUGCUAUGAAGAAAUGAGGUGUUUGCCUGGUUGUAAAUUUCAUGCUGAUGUUAUUGUAAUUAUGUUAUGUUCUCUAAAGAAACAUGGGG